rnacentral:rRNA from 1 species
UACGUAGGUGGCAAGCGUUGUUCGGAAUUAUUGGGCGUAAAGGGCGCGUAGGCGGUUUGUUAAGUCGGCUGUGAAAGCCCCCGGCUCAACUGGGGAGGGUCACGCGAUACUGAUCGACUCGAAGGCAGGAGAGGGAAGUGGAAUUCCCGGUGUAGUGGUGAAAUGCGUAGAUAUCGGGAGGAACACCAGUGGCGAAGGCGACUUCCUGGCCUGUUCUUGACGCUGAGGCGCGAAAGCUAGGGGAGCAAACGGG